UGUUACGAUCUGCUGAGGGUAAGCCGUCCUUCGCCUCGAUUUCCCCAAUGGGUUCUCCGGAUCUCUGGAGACUUGUAGGGGUUGUGGGUUUUUCGAUGUGUCGUCUCCGGACGGGCGGUGCAGGGUAGUCGAGUUAGACUUGGUGGAAUUCCGUCGAUAGGAGUUCCGUCGAGUCUGGUCGGCUGUGUGUUGGACGGUGCAGGGUAGGCUGCUUGGACAUGGUCGGUUCGAGGAUCGAUUCGAGGGCCGGCCUGUCGAUGAUGUGUGAUGUAUGCGGUCUAGGGUAGGCUGGUUUGUCUUGGUUCAAUUUGAUGUCGGCUCCCGUGCAGGCCAGAGUGAGUGGGGUCCAGGGUAGGUACAGGGUAGGCAGCUUAGAUUUGGUCGAUCUGGAGGUCGAUUCUCCGGCUGGCGGAUCUGACACUGUCGAAACGAGAUGCGAGCGGUGUAGGGUAGGCUAGUUUCGUCCUCGCCAGGUUGCGAUUUGGACGAGGUAUGUACAUGGUUUGGGGUAGGCUCUAGGGUAAGUAGAACUCGAGUUUCGUCGCUGACAGUUUUCUGUGGGUGUAUGGUAGGUACAGGGUAGGCAAAUCUCUCUCCGGCCAGCACUUGUCUGGUGGUCGUGAGUCGAUUUUUUUGUUUCGCCAUACUAUUGAAUUUUGCGGAAAUUCAAAAGUGGCUCGGGAGUCCCGUCUGGCGUGCGUCCGACUCGAACAUUGUCGGUGGACAUAUGAGAGGGAGCAAUCCGGCCGGGCCGGGGCCCGUUGCGAGCUGCAGGGUAGGUAAAAGUAAAAAAGUUGUUAAGAGGCGCGGUGUCGGCGUGCUUGUAUUUGCGGGAGAGAAUUAUCUGGAGGUGCUGGGUAGCCGGGAAGACUUGGAUGGAUCUGGCCCGGGAAUGGGUCUGCGCCUGGAUUCUGGUGUGGUGUAGGGUAGGCGUAGAUAGAUGAGUUGUCUAGGGUAGGUACAGGGUAGCUAGAAGUCUGGUAUAUAGUAUUGGGGGGGUGUAGGGUAGGUCUGGGCAUUGUUUUCCGCUUCGCCCUUCCCUUUACUCGAGGGGAGGACGAUCUUGGCUGGGACGGAGAUGUAGGGUAGGCUUAAUUUACGAUUACAUGAUCUGCGUCACUCUAGGGUAGCUGAAAAUCCCAUAUGUAUCUGAUCACAUUUGGUGAAGAGGUUGGUUUGGAUGGUGAGAUGGACAAAAGUGC
rnacentral:misc_RNA from 1 species